CCAAUAGCGUAUAUUAAAGUUGUUGCAGUUAAAAAGCUCGUAGUUGAAUUUCGGGAUCAGUUGGUCGGUCGUGCCUCGGUACGUACUGGUCAAAUUGAUUCCUACCUUCUGACGAACCACGAUGUCAUUAAUUUGGUGUCGCGGGAAAUCAGGACUGUUACUUUGAAAAAAUUAGAGUGUUUAAAGCAGGCUCGCGCUUGAAUACAUUAGCAUGGAAUAAUGAAAUAGGACGUUUGAUUCUAUUUUGUUGGUUUCUAGGAUCGACGUAAUGAUUAAUAG
rnacentral:rRNA from 1 species